rnacentral:rRNA from 1 species
UGGGGAAUAUUGCACAAUGGGCGCAAGCCUGAUGCAGCGACGCCGCGUGAGGGGAUGACGGCCUUCGGGUUGUAAACCUCUUUCAACGCCGACGAAGCGCAAGUGACGGUAGGCGUAGAAGAAGCACCGGCCAACUACGUGCCAGCAGCCGCGGUAAUACGUAGGGUGCGAGCGUUGUCCGGAAUUACUGGGCGUAAAGAGCUCGUAGGUGGUUUGUCGCGUUGUUCGUGAAAACUCACAACUCAAUUGUGGGCGUGCGGGCGAUACGGGCAGACUGGAGUACUGCAGGGGAGACUGGAAUUCCUGGUGUAGCGGUGGAAUGCGCAGAUAUCAGGAGGAACACCGGUGGCGAAGGCGGGUCUCUGGGCAGUAACUGACGCUGAGGAGCGAAAGCGUGGGGAGCGAACAGGAUUAGAUACCCUGGUAGUCCACGCCGUAAACGGUGGGUACUAGGUGUGGGUUUCCUUCCUUGGGAUCCGUGCCGUAGCUAACGC